UACAAAUAGCAUUUCCCACACAGUAAAGCUAUUCGUACCCAAAAAUGAAAAAGAGCAAACUGCGCAUGUCUACCAACGACUGCUCCGCUGUAGGGCGGAGUUGCAGAAAAGGCGCCACUUCGAAGUUCGAACACUUUCAGCCAAAGCUCUUUGGUGAACGACAAUGAAGAAAUCCCUCCUGAAACGACGUUCAGAGGAAGAAAGACCCAAGACAGUUUGUGUAGGAAAGUCCUUCGACAGUUAUGAGGAAUUCCAGAGAGCAGUGAGGUUAUGGAGUGCAGAGGGCCACCAUCCAAUGCACAAAGAAAGAUCAGAAAAGAUAAAUGAUAGCAAUCCAGCUCUUGCAGAAAAGUUCAAGUACUCUAGAUUGACUCUGUCAUGUGUCCACUAUGGUUCCAAAAGAACUUGCAAAAGCAAGAAUGAAAGACCUUUUCAGCACUAUUUACGGAUGGGAUGCCCUGUGAUCAUUAAAUUACGCUAUGACAGGAAAGUGGGCAAACAUAUUGUUUCUAAGGUGGUGGAGAAACAUAAUCACCCUGUAUCUGCCAAGCUUUUCCAGAAAUACCCACAAAACAGAAGGCCUAACAUAGAAGAAAGGCAAGAAAUUGAAAGAUUG